rnacentral:rRNA from 1 species
GACGAACGCUGGCGGCGUGCUUAACACAUGCAAGUCGAACGGAAAGGCCCUGCUUUUGUGGGGUGCUCGAGUGGCGAACGGGUGAGUAACACGCGAGUAACCCGCCCUUGACUUUGGGAUAACUCCAGGAAACUGGGGCUAAUACCGGAUAGGAGCUCCUGCUGCAUGGUGGGGGUUGGAAAGUUUCGGCGGUUGGGGAUGGUCUAGCGGCUUAUCAGCUUGUUGGUAAGGUAGUGGCUUACCAAGGCUAUGAUGGGUAGCCGGCCUGAGAGGGUGAUCGGCCACACUGGAACUGAGACACGGUCCAGACUCCUACGGGAGGCAGCAGUAGGGAAUCUUCCGCAAUGGGCGAAAGCCUGACGGAGCAACGCCGCGUGAGUGAUGAAGGUCUUCGGAUCGUAAAACUCUGUUAUUAGGGAAGAACAAAUGUGUAAGUAACUAUGCACGUCUUGACGGUACCUAAUCAGAAAGCCACGGCUAACUACGUG